UACGACUACAUAUCAGGCAUAUCAAUAAGCGGAGGAAAAGAAACUAACUAGGAUUCCCUCAGUAACGGCGAGUGAAGCGGGAAGAGCUCAAAUUUGAAAUCUUCAAGGUUUUACCUUGACGAAUUGUAGUUUAAAGAAGUGUUUUCUGUUGGUGUUUUGGUAAAAGUUCUUUGGAAUAGGACAUCAUAGAGGGUGAGAAUCCCGUAUUUGACCAUUACUUCCAGCGUUGUGAUACACUUUCAAAGAGUCGGAUUGUUUGGGAAUGCAGUCCAAAAUGGGUGGUAAAUUUCAUCUAAAGCUAAAUAUUGGCGAGAGACCGAUAGCGAACAAGUACCGUGAGGGAAAGAUGAAAAGAACUUUGAAAAGAGAGUUAAACAGUACGUGAAAUUGUCAAAAGGGAAGCGUUUGACACCAGUGUUGUUUUUCUCGAAAAUCAAUUACAAAUAGUUUUGUAUUUUGAUGAGUUAUGACUUCAUCAGCUUGCUCCCUUUCUUUACUAACUUUCUUAAUGCACUUUUCGUUUAACAAGUCAACAUCAAUUUCUUUUGUUGUAAAAGAGUCAUGAGGAAGGGUGGCUUUUCAUUUCGGUAGAAAGUGUUUAUAGCCUUGUGCCUCUGCAAUCGGAGAGAUUGAGGUCUGCAGCGUAGAUCCUUCGGGGUUAGAUACGUAGAUGCUAAGUUAUAAUUAUUUCAUAAACAACUUGUUGACUAUAAGUAAUCAUGUAGCUUACUCGUUUGCGCUAUUUUACCUACGCUUAGGAUGUUGAUCUCUCACAGUCGAGC
rnacentral:rRNA from 1 species